rnacentral:pre_miRNA from 1 species
AAAAAGACAAACCUUAAGUUUCCGUGUCCAACGUUUAACUGUCCGUCUUAUAUGAAAUUUUUUUAUAAUUAGUAUUUUUAUUGUUGUUAGAUGAUAAAACAUGAUUAAUACUUUAUACGUGACUUGUCUUUUUAAUUUUUUUCAUAAUUUUUUUAAAUAAGACGGACGGUCAAACGUUGGACACGGAAACCCAGGGUUUGUCUUUUU